UACGUAGGGUGCAAGCGUUAAUCGGAAUUACUGGGCGUAAAGCGUGCGUAGACGGUUAUUUAAGUCGGGUGUGAAAGCCCCGGGCUCAACCUGGGAAUUGCAUUCGAGACUGAAUAGCUAGGGUACGGUAGAGGGAAGUGGAAUUUCCGGUGUAGCGGUGAAAUGCGUAGAUAUCGGAAGGAACAUCAGUGGCGAAAGCGACUUCCUGGACCAGUACCGACGUUCAGGCACGAAAGCGUGGGGAGCAAACAGGA
rnacentral:rRNA from 1 species